rnacentral:rRNA from 1 species
UACGUAGGGUGCAAGCGUUAAUCGGAAUUACUGGGCGUAAAGCGUGCGCAGGCGGUUUUGUAAGACUGUCGUGAAAUCCCCGGGCUUAACCUGGGAACUGCGUCGGAUACUGGAUGGCUUGAAUUCGGGAGAGGGAUGCAGAAUUCCAGGUGUAGCGGUGAAAUGCGUAGAUAUCUGGAGGAAUACCGGUGGCGAAGGCGGCAUCCUGGACCGACAUUGACGCUGAACGGCGAAAGCUAGGGGAGCAAACGGG